rnacentral:rRNA from 1 species
GACAGAGGGUGCGAACGUUGUUCGGAAUUACUGGGCGUAAAGCGCGUGUAGGCGGCUCGGCAAGUCGGAUGUGAAAGCCCAGGGCUCAACCCUGGAAGUGCACUCGAAACUGCCGAGCUGGAGUCCCGGAGAGGAAGGCGGAAUUCUCGGUGUAGAGGUGAAAUUCGUAGAUAUCGAGAGGAACACCUGUGGCGAAGGCGGCCUUCUGGACGGUGACUGACGCUGAGACGCGAAAGCGUGGGGAGCAAACAGG